UCUCAAGCAGCAUGUUACAGACUGGUGGGACCUAUGUAUAGAAAUGAGGGAGGCUACAGAACACUGCCGUAGAUGACUAAGCCACGAGUCAAUGAUGAACAAGACCAGCGGAUCAUUAUGUAAAGACUGCCCCUGUAAUCUUGCCAAGAUGACAUUUGAUGUCUAUGCAUUGUCACAGUGUAUAAUGGCAUCCUGUGACAUAUGUCAACCCUAUGUGACAAGCAGCAUGAGGAAUAGAUUUGAAAUAUAGAGGAAAUAAAUGCAAGAAUCAAUGGCUUCUGCUGGCUGCA
rnacentral:lncRNA from 1 species